rnacentral:rRNA from 1 species
ACGCUCGACACCUACGGAGCAGCAGUUAGGAAUAUUGGGCAAUGGAGGAAACUCUGACCCAGCAACGCCGCGUGAAGGAAGAAGGUUUUCGGAUUGUAAACUUCUGAUCUAGGGGAAGAAGGAAGUGACGGUACCCUAGGAGAAAGCCACGGCUAACUACGUGCCAGCAGCCGCGGUAAUCUGAGCGGGCUGGCAAGGC